GACGAACGCUGGCGGCGUGCUUAACACAUGCAAGUCGAACGGAAAGGCCCUUCGGGGUACUCGAGUGGCGAACGGGUGAGUAACACGUGGGUGAUCUGCCCUGCACUUUGGGAUAAGCCUGGGAAACUGGGUCUAAUACCGAAUAGGACCGCGCGCUUCAUGGUGUGUGGUGGAAAGCUUUUGCGGUGUGGGAUGGGCCCGCGGCCUAUCAGCUUGUUGGUGGGGUAUUGGCCUACCAAGGCGACGACGGGUAGCCGGCCUGAGAGGGUGACCGGCCACACUGGGACUGAGAUACGGCCCAGACUCCUACGGGAGGCAGCAGUGGGGAAUAUUGCACAAUGGGCGCAAGCCUGAUGCAGCGACGCCGCGUGAGGGAUGACGGCCUUCGGGUUGUAAACCUCUUUCACCAGGGACGAAGCGCAAGUGACGGUACCUGGAGAAGAAGCACCGGCCAACUACGUG
rnacentral:rRNA from 1 species